rnacentral:rRNA from 1 species
CUGGCUCAGGAUGAACGCUAGCGGCAGGCUUAACACAUGCAAGUCGAGGGGCAGCAUAAUGGAUAGCAAUAUCUAUGGUGGCGACCGGCGCACGGGUGCGUAACGCGUAUGCAACCUACCUUUAACAGGGGGAUAACACUGAGAAAUUGGUACUAAUACCCCAUAAUAUCAUAGAAGGCAUCUUUUAUGGUUGAAAAUUCCGAUGGUUAGAGAUGGGCAUGCGUUGUAUUAGCUAGUUGGUGGGGUAACGGCUCACCAAGGCGACGAUACAUAGGGGGACUGAGAGGUUAACCCCCCACAUUGGUACUGAGACACGGACCAAACUCCUACGGGAGGCAGCAGUGAGGAAUAUUGGUCAAUGGACGCAAGUCUGAACCAGCCAUGCCGCGUGCAGGAUGACGGCUCUAUGAGUUGUAAACUGCUUUUGUACGAGGGUAAACGCAGAUACGUGUAUCUGUCUGAAAGUAUCGUACGAAUAAGGAUCGGCUAACUCCGUGCCAGCAGCCGCGGUAAUACGGAGGAUUCAAGCGUUAUCCGGAUUUAUUGGGUUUAAAGGGUGCGUAGGCGGUUUGAUAAGUUAGAGGUGAAAUUUCGGGGCUCAACCCUGAACGUGCCUCUAAUACUGUUGAGCUAGAGAGUAGUUGCGGUAGGCGGAAUGUAUGGUGUAGCGGUGAAAUGCUUAGAGAUCAUACAGAACACCGAUUGCGAAGGCAGCUUACCAAACUAUAUCUGACGUUGAGGCACGAAAGCGUGGGGAGCAAACAGGAUUAGAUACCCUGGUAGUCCACGCAGUAAACGAUGAUAACUCGUUGUCGGCGAUACACAGUCGGUGACUAAGCGAAAGCGAUAAGUUAUCCACCUGGGGAGUACGUUCGCAAGAAUGAAACUCAAAGGAAUUGACGGGGGCCCGCACAAGCGGAGGAACAUGUG